rnacentral:rRNA from 1 species
UACGUAGGGGCGAGCGUUGUCCGGAAUUAUUGGGCGUAAAGGGCGCGUAGGCGGUUAUUUAAGUCUGAUGUGAAAGUGCGGGGCUUAACUCCGUAAAGCAUUGGAAACUGGGUAACUUGAGGACAGGAGAGGAAAGUGGAAUUCCACGUGUAGCGGUGAAAUGCGUAGAUAUGUGGAGGAACACCAGUGGCGAAGGCGACUUUCUGGACUGUAACUGACGCUGAGGCGCGAAAGCGUGGGGAUCAAACAGGAUUAGAUACCCUGGUAGUCCCUGAGCGGG